CAGUCGCCGCGGUAAUACGAAGUGUGCAAGCGUUAAUCGGAAUUACUGGGCGUAAAGCGUGCGUAGGCGGUUUGUUAAGUCUGUUGUGAAAGCCCUGGGCUCAACCUGGGAAUUGCAGUGGAUACUGGGUCACUAGAGUGUGGUAGAGGAUAGUGGAAUUUCCGGUGUAGCAGUGAAAUGCGUAGAGAUCGGAAGGAACAUCUGUGGCGAAGGCGACUAUCUGGGCCAACACUGACACUGAGGCACGAAAGCGUGGGGAGCAAACAGGAUUAGAUACCCCCGUAGUCCCUGUCUCUUAUAC
rnacentral:rRNA from 1 species